rnacentral:rRNA from 1 species
UACAGAGGCCUCGAGCGUUAGGCGGAAUCACUGGGCUUAAAGCGUGUGUAGGCGGACUUCUAAGUACCUUGUGAAAUCCCACGGCUUACCCGUGGAACGGCUGGGUAUACUGGUUGUCUUGAGCCACUUAGGGGCUACCGGAACAAAUGGUGGAGCGGUGAAAUGCGUAGAUAUCGUCUGGAACGCCGAAGGUGAAAACAGCUCGCUGGGGCUGCGCUGACGCUGAGACACGAAAGCCAGGGGAGCGAACGGG